rnacentral:tRNA from 1 species
GCAGCUAUAGGCUAAUGGUAAGCCGUUUGUCUCCUAAACAAAUUAUACUGGUUCAAAUCCGGUUAGUUGUA